UCCGGCAUUGCUGUGAGCUGUGGUGUAGGUUGCAGAUGUGAUUCGGAUCCCGUGUUGCUGUGUCUCUGGCGUAGGCUGGUGGCUACAGCUCCAAUUAGACCCCUAGCCUGGGAACCUGCAUAUGCCAUGGGAGCGGCACAAAGAAAUAGCAAAAAGACAAAAAUAUAUAUAUAUAGAUAUAAUAUAUUAUGAUCAAAUGUCUACGAGCUCCACCUCGAUAAUUUGCAUUGGACAUAUCCCACGUUAAUUCUGUCCAUUUCUGUUUGCCUGCCUCUGAGCAGAUGUGUGUGCGGGUGGCUGUGGUUGUCACCUGAAACUGCAGAGAAUUCAUUUUAAAUAUGAAGUUUUCAAUAAAUCUGAAUUCUCCCUCUAGUUCUCCAUCAUGAUGUUUACAUUUACUUUUUUUUUUUUUUUUUUUUUUUUUUUGCAGAAAAGCUUCAGAAAGUAAAUGGAGAUGACACCUUCAGAGGCAAUUUGGAAAGCCCUCUUGACAACUACAUUAAGUUUAGCAUCGCUUUGUGACAUGCAAAGCAUUAGACACCAUCACACUUGCAAAAGCCAGUACCCAGACAUACGUCAUCCACUUGCUCAGGCACCGUGGCAUCUUCUGAAAAGGGUUUUUCGGG
rnacentral:lncRNA from 1 species